rnacentral:rRNA from 1 species
GACGAACGCUGGCGGCGUGCUUAACACAUGCAAGUCGAACGAAGAGCGAUGGAAGCUUGCUUCUAUCAAUCUUAGUGGCGAACGGGUGAGUAACGCGUAAUCAACCUGCCCUUCAGAGGGGGACAACAGUUGGAAACGACUGCUAAUACCGCAUACGAUCUAAUCUCGGCAUCGAGGAUAGAUGAAAGGUGGCCUCUACAUGUAAGCUAUCACUGAAGGAGGGGAUUGCGUCUGAUUAGCUAGUUGGAGGGGUAACGGCCCACCAAGGCGAUGAUCAGUAGCCGGUCUGAGAGGAUGAACGGCCACAUUGGGACUGAGACACGGCCCAGACUCCUACGGGAGGCAGCAGUGGGGAAUCUUCCGAAAUGGACGAAAGUCUGACGGAGCAACGCCGCGUGAGUGAUGACGGCCUUCGGGUUGUAAAGCUCUGUUAAUCGGGACGAAAGGCCUUCUUGCGAAUAGUGAGAAGGAUUGACGGUACCGGAAUAGAAAGCCACGGCUAUCUACGUG